UUGAUCCUGGCUCAGAACGAACGCUGGCGGCACGCCUAACACAUGCAAGUCGAGCGCUCACUUCGGUGGGAGCGGCGGACGGGUUAGUAACGCGUGGGAACAUACCCAACACUACGGAAUAGCCACUGGAAACGGUGAGUAAUACCGUAUACGCCCUUCGGGGGAAAGAUUUAUCGGUGAUGGAUUGGCCCGCGUUAGAUUAGAUAGUUGGUGGGGUAACGGCCUACCAAGUCUACGAUCUAUAGCUGGUUUGAGAGGAUGAUCAGCAACACUGGGACUGAGACACGGCCCAGACUCCUACGGGAGGCAGCAGUGGGGAAUCUUAGACAAUGGGCGAAAGCCUGAUCUAGCGAUGCCGCGUGAGUGACGAAGGCCUUAGGGUCGUAAAGCUCUUUCGCCAGGGAUGAUAAUGACAGUACCUGGUAAAGAAACCCCGGCUAACUCCGUGCCAGCAGCCGCGGUAAUACGGAGGGGGUUAGCGUUGUUCGGAAUUACUGGGCGUAAAGCGCGCGUAGGCGGAUUGGAAAGUUGGGGGUGAAAUCCCGGGGCUCAACCCCGGAACUGCCUCCAAAACUAUCAGUCUAGAGUUCGAGAGAGGUGAGUGGAAUUCCAAGUGUAGAGGUGAAAUUCGUAGAUAUUUGGAGGAACACCAGUGGCGAAGGCGGCUCACUGGCUCGAUACUGACGCUGAGGUGCGAAAGUGUGGGGAGCAAACAGGAUUAGAUACCCUGGUAGUC
rnacentral:rRNA from 1 species